CACCUGCUCUGGAUGAGUCACUUCCCUUCGCUGACCCUGCCUCAAGUCCUCCCUCCUUAUGAAAUGUGAGACUUUAUCAGGUCUGAACCUGAGGGGCUUUUCAAACUACCACGUACCCAGAUUCCCCCAGCCCGGUUGAAUAUGAGGCUUCGGGGGUGGCCUCUGCAGGCCGAGGCUUAAUGAGCCCCAUGGCCCCAGGUGGCAUUCAGAGGCCUGGGACUUGCUUCCUAGCCAGGACUCUUGUGAACAUUUCCCUUCCCUCUCCAGAAAGGUCACAUGGGCUGGCAGUUACUGAACUUUCGCUUCACUUUGGGAUUUUCCACAAUUCAGACCUGCACUGAGUCACAAAGAUGUACUAAGCCUGGGAAAUGACUGGGUGAAUUACUCUUAAUCACACAACUCCAACCACGACAGCCUCCGUCUGAGGGCGCAAUUCCCUUUCUGACCACCAGAGGGAGCAUGUGGCUUGCGCCGAAUCCCCUCCAAUUGCGUGUUUUCAACUCAACCUUUCCAAGCGCCUUUGCCGGGAGGAGGGGCCCCUGGCUCCUGAAUGGUCCGUCUGGUGCCCUGAUUUCCUAGACUCAUCGAACCCCUGCUGUAGGUGAGACUGUAAAGAUCAUCGAACUCAGCCACGUCAUCAUAGCUUCAUUCAACAGACAGUCAUCAAAGACCUGCCUUGGGUGCUGAGGAUGGAGUGAUGAACAAGUUUUCAUACCUUCCACACCGCCACUCUCCAGAGAGAAAUGUGACAAUGAGCUUCAGCUCCAUCGAAUCCGGACUUCAUGAACCCUCUCUGGGUUGGCUUCUCAACCGAUUUCAGAGUUGUGAGCUAAGAAAGAACAGCGGGAGAGAGACACAGUUUUCCAGGGGACUCCUGCCUUGCUGGGGGCUUCCACAGCCCCUGACCAACCAUCCUGGAGUCACUGCUGAGACAGUAGCCUGAACAAGGGCAAUGGGACCUCAGAGACGGCAUCGGUACUGUCGGAGCCCCAGGGCUUUCGACCCUUUGCUCCAGUGAGCUUAGAGCCAUAAUAUUAUCAUUCAGAAUGAUGACAGAGUAAGUGGCAAGCACACCUAGACAUCUUCUGAGCCCAGCAGACAGAAUUUUGGUUUAAGGAGAACCUGGGUAGUUUAAUGACACACACUAUUUUUUUAAAUAUAGGCAUCAUACUCUAUGAAUUGUAAUGAUUCAUCCCAUCUCAAGAAGAUGGAAUUUUAGAUGUAUGUGGAUAUAUUUGAAGCCAACGCUGUUUAUUUUGUGUAAUGUUUUUAUGCCUAUUAGUUUCUGAAUAUCUGUGCAUAAAAGCUUCUGUUUCUCUGCCUGCACACAUUUGUGGGUACACCUUAUACACCUAUGUGGGGUGGGAGGGGGGAAUGUGCAUAUUUGUUUGCAUUUACCUUGUGUUUGGUCUUAGGAAGAGAUCUUGGUGAUCAUUCUAGCCCAACUCUUUCACCUCACUGGUGAAGAAACUGAGGUCCAGAAAGGCAAAGGUGACUUGUCACAGAUCACACAGCUGGCUAUGGAGACAGAGAUGACACAAGAACCUAGGAUUUCUGAUUUGUAGAUGAGGACCUUUUCUAUAAUAUUAAAAUCAAUUAUAAAUUGCAGGGAGAGAAGCAGGGAGAUCCUUGUUUUUUCCUCCCCCAACUGAUAAGGAAGUACUAAGAAGGUCAAUCUUGAAUUAGCUAUAUAAUACCAAAAGUUAAGUUUUUCACACUGACCUGGUUCAGUAUUGAUUCCUUUUAUGAACACCCUAUUUAUACUCAAGUUGUCAAAGAAUUCCAGAGGGCAUAUGAAGCCUUUGUUAAAAUAAUUAUAUGCCUUUGUUUUUGAAGAAAAGUAUCCAAAAUAUAUAAGCUUAUUGUUUGAGUUAAACAAUAAAAACAUCUGCUGUUUCUCAUGAUGGCUCUAGUCUUAAUAUAACAUGGCAAAAUAAUACCCCCUAAAUAUCCAUGAUUAACCUGAAUUGGAGAGGGCUCACCUCCCAGUGACUUCAUGUAGCUGCUUCAACUGGCUUUGGUUCAAAAAACAAAAACAAAAGCACAAAAGCCAACAUAUAGACAGAUCAUCACCCAGCAUUCUGAUGCAAGAAAAUAUUAAAACGAAUCACUGUUUUUAAAUGGAUAGUGUGUUCCUACUAGAAAAGAAUCCCACAAAUUUGAGGCUUAAAAAACAUGGAGCAUAUG